rnacentral:rRNA from 1 species
CCUACGGGAGGCAGCAGUCGGGAAUAUUGCGCAAUGGAGGAAACUCUGACGCAGUGACGCCGCGUGCAGGAAGAAGGUUUUCGGAUUGUAAACUGCUUUAGAUAGGGAAGAAAAAAGACAGUACCUGUAGAAUAAGCUCCGGCUAACUACGUGCCAGCAGCCGCGGUAAUACGUAGGGAGCAAGCGUUAUCCGGAUUUAUUGGGUUUAAAGGGUGCGUAGACGGAGAAGCAAAUUAGUUGUGAAAUCCCUGGGCUUAAAUGAGGAACUGCAACUAAAACUACGUCCCUUGAGUACUGGAGAGGAAAGUGGAAUGCCUGGUGUAGCGGUGAAAUGCGUAGAUAUUAGGAGGAACACCGGCGGCGAAGGCAGCCUGCUGGACCGUGACUGACGUUGAGGCUCGAGGGCGUGGGGAGCAAACAGGAUUAGAUACCCGGGUAGUC